rnacentral:rRNA from 1 species
ACAGAGGGUGCAAGCGUUAACCGGAGUUACUGGGCGUAAAGGGCGCGUAGGCUGGUAUUUAAGUCAAUUGUGAAAUCCCACGGCUUAACCUAGGAAUUGCAGCGGAUACUGAAUAUCUUGAGUACGGUAGAGGAAAGUGGAAUUCCCGGUGUAGUGGUUAAAUACGUAGAUAUCGGGAAGAACACCGGUGGCGAAGGCGGCUUUCUGGACCGAUACUGACGCUGAGGCGCGAAAGCGUGGGGAGCAAACAG